rnacentral:lncRNA from 1 species
GGGGUGGGGGGUGGUGGUGGGAGGAGGUGGUGGUGGUGGCCCUGUGGCUCUGAGUGUGGGGGCUAGGCCGACAAGCGUGGGGCUGUCUUGUCAUAUCAGCGUCUUUCCUUUUUAGUGGCCUCUCUCUUUUGACACAUUCCAAGGGAGAGACUUCUCUCUGGUGCUUCCUUUAAAUUUACAUCAUUGUCCUUUGUUGCCAAUCCCCUCAUGCAUGGGCUCUGAUUCAAUUGCUACAUUCCAAAUUUUUUUUAACUUCAACUGUUCUCCCCUAAUACUUGACACACCAUUUUACUUUAAUCAUACCCCCGCUUGAAUAACCACAUCCCAUUACUCUCUCUUAUUAUUCUAUUUCAGGUUGUCCCCCACCACUCCUCUUUUCUUAUUUCAUUUUUCACCAGCCAGGGGUUCGCCGCUCCCCUCCAUUAUUACUAUCAACUAUCAUCCACUCUCCUUAAUUGCAAUCGGCACGUGUGUUUUCUCUAUUAUUUUUUUAUGUCUCAAUUACUUGCUCCCAAAGCACAAUUUUGUGUAGAAAUAGCCCCACUUGUUGCUCCAAUCCCAUUCUCUCAACCAGAUAGCCUACUUGUUUCUCAAAAAAGAGAUGAACUCCUCUUCUAUUGGUAUUUUCUAGCUGCCUCUUCCUCGGAGAAAGAGGAUCAAACAAUUCCCAAAGACCUCGGAGUUUUAAGUGGAAACCAUUAUUUUUUAUUAUCUUUUGAUAUGUAUGUAUAUAUAUGGGGCCUACUUUUUCUAUGGUUUCUAUAGUUGGCUUGGGCGUGUAUUACUUUUUCUAUAGUUGGCCCAACCCAGAUAAAGAAUCGGCCAAGCCCACCCUGAGAAGGCUGCCCCAAGAUAAGGUGACUUAUGCUUAUGGGUAUUAAGCAGUACAUGCACAAGUCCCAUUUCCAAAAAACUUGCAAUUAAUAGUUGUAAGGUGUAAUCAAGAAUAUAAGCUAUGACAUCGUUAUAAUUAUCCUGAUAACGCCCAUGAGUCGUGCUAGAAUAAAUCCCAGAUACUUCAUUGCAUGUAUAGACAGACGCCUGCACACACGCAUAUGCGAAAACGCACACACAAAGAACCAGUUGGAAUUUUAAAAUUUUUGUUGGAAAUAUUAGAAACAAAGUAUUAACACUCUCUGUUUACAACAUAUAAGACGAGUGCCUUAGUGUAAGAAAAUUCUCUCUAAAACAUGUACAAAUAAAUUGAUCCCAGAGAAAUGAAUAAUUAGGAAGACUUGCAACCUUGUCUCAUUGCACAAGGUCAAUAAGCAUCUAUGCAGAUACACCACGAAAAUAAACAGACAUCCACCAGCCUCAAAGAUACAAGCAGCCUCUCGGUUGGUUGGAACAAAAUAUGUACUCCGGUAAGCUCACUACCCUACCUAGUAUGCCUCAUACUAUUGCCCAAAACUUCUUUCUAGCGAUUAGCACAGAAUCCAUCUUUUUCUGUUCAUUUUCCAGCAAAUGUGAUUCAACCUCCCAUAGAAACUUGGGAGCAAUAUCUCUGAUUCUCGAUGUGAUUUGUUCAUUGUCUCUAAUGAUGAUAAAUCCCUGCACAUUAAUAUUCUUAAUAAAAUCUUGAAUUCAUAAAGCAACUCACUCGUAGGUAAUUACAGACUCUGCUUUGCAAUGACCAUGGAAAUUAAAUUUCAGUUUUUGACCGUAUACAUGCAUAAAAGAUGAGUUUAAUAAGAAUCAUUACCUGGGGUCGCAGAAUGCGGUCCAUCUCCAGCAUAAUAUCUUCAAGUAAACAACCUUCUCCAUGGUUUUGAUAGUGAGAGAAGAGAUGGUUGGCAUGUAACAAAUCAUAUGUGCGUGGAUAUGUAGAGAAUGGUUCGCACCUAAGGUAAGGCAUUAAUAUUAAUAGUGGAUAACAUAUUUAUUUGGGUACAAUUACCACUGUAAUAAGAUCAAUAAUAUACUGGUCAAUGUAAAGUUAGCACACAAUAAGCAAAUGCAAUAGCUUGCUGAUUGCUUACCAGUCAUGAAAAGAACCAAUAAGACCCCGAUCAUAAAUAGCAGACAAGGAAUUGUUCAUGCUUGCAGGAACGACAUUCAUCACCCAAACAGGAAAUGUAUUCAAAGCCACAGCGAAUCCCCCAAUCAAGGCAUUCAUGUCCAUGACAUUUCGUAUAUCAGUUUUAUUAACAUUCAUCAACCUGUAGUAAUGGCUAACUUGAUCUUGCCAAAAGAUGGUAUCCGAAAUAAAUCUCUCUUGAUCGAUACCUGUCAUAAAAAAUAUUAUUGAGUUGACAAACCAAACUGACAAAAACUAAAAAUAUUAUUGAGUUGACAAACCAAACUGACAAAAACUAACAUAAUUUGCAUAUUUCUAAGCAAUACUAGUGAUAGAACCCAAAUGAUUAGAUGAAACUCCAGUAGACCAUGUCAUGCUCCACUAUUCAACUUGGCCUCACCACUGUGAGGUUGGAAAAGAGGAUAGCCAUAACAUAUUCGCACCUAUUACUAAAUAAAAUGCAGUAUAAGAGUACCAUUAAGUUUGGAAACAGGAAUUGAGUAAAUAAAUUAUAUAAACCAGAAAUUGAGACUUUACAAAUUCCUUCCAGCUAGAAGGGCAUGAAAUCCCAGUGACAGGGCUAAAUCCAUCAAUAGUUUAGUCCCAGACCAUCCCAAAAAUUUUGAAUCAAUACCUGUAGAAUCACAUGACCCUAACUGAAUCCAAGUCCAGCAAAAUUUCCAUAAAAUCUAGAACCCAAAUAGGCAAAGAGAAAUCUAUGAAACUAGAAUACAUAUAUGGACACACAAUAUUCUGUUAAGCUCCCUAAUCCAAAGCUUAAAUAAACCCACCAACAAAAUCUUUUUGAUAGAUAAGGAAAAUGUAUUAUAAAUAAAAGAGGGUAUGCAUAAUGUAUACAAAGUAGCCACAAGACCCAAAAGGAGGUGCGAAGACACAAAAAACAACAAACACGCCCUACAUAGAUCCUAAACCAAUCCACAAAUCCUAACAUCAACAAAGAGCCAUCUCCAAGAUACAAUUUAAGCCAAUCCUAAAAAAAUUCAAGAAAAAACUUUCAAUUGUUUGAUCUAAGCUUUCACAAUUAUCGAAGGAUCUCCUAUUUCUCUCCUUCCAUAUGAUCCGGAACACACAUAAUAGAGCAGCCUUUCAAGCCUUUUUUCUUCUUCCCAACAAAGAAACCACCCCAACCUAAGAGAAAUCCCCUAAUUGAAGAGUACAUCACCCACUAUACACUGAACAAAACAAAAACCAACUACCACAAAUUGCAUGCUUUCGUGCAAUGAAGGAGAAUAUGAUCAUUCGUUUCCUCAUCUUCUUUGCACAUGUAACAUCUAUUAAAGAUCCUCCAACCCUUCCUUUUGAGCUGAUUUAGAGUCAAAAUCCUAGCCCAUGUAGCUUCCUAAGCAAAAAAACUAACUCUCAUUGGGACCUAAGAAUUCCAAACUAUAUCACGAGGGAAAGGUUUUACUCUCCUACAAGCCAAAGAGGAGUAAAAAGACUUAAUUGAGAAGGUGUCAUUCUUUGACCCCAACCACACCAUGGUAUCUUCAGAUCCCACCCUAAUGAAGUAGUCAUACAAUCUCCCAAAAAAUACCUCCACUUCCUCAAGUUUCUAAUCAUGUAACUGUCUAACAAAUCUAAAGCCCCAACUACCACCAUCCCAGACGCCAACCACCCAAGCAUCUUUUAAGGAGGCCAUAGAAUAAAGAGCUGGAAAUGAUUCCCUUAGAGAAGUGUCCCCGCACCACUUGUCUAUCCAAAACUUCACCAUGUUGUCGACUCUAACCUUGAACCAUGUUCUAUCCCUAAGCACCUCUGAUUGUCUUCCACACACUCACACCAUACUUGAUGUAGGACAACCCUAGGAUGGUUGCCUACACUCAAGGGUAGGUGGGCUAGGGUUUUAUUUUUAGGGUGUAAGGAGAGGAACAGGGAAUAAACCUUAUGGUAGAGAAAAUUAUAAGAUAAGAAAUAGAGAGAAAGAAGAAACAAUGAAGAAAAGAUGGAAAACCUUAGAGUCUCACUAAGGCCUUCUAGGAGUCUCACCAUUGAGGGUUGCAACCUUGCAAUGAAAGAAAGUAUAAUAUUAUUCAUCAAAAUUCAUUCCUUUGAUUUACAUUGAUUAGCCUAUUUAUAGACUUCUCUAAGAAAUCCAAAGUCUACUAGGACUCUAAUAACUUAUUCUACUAGGACUCUAAUAACCUAUCAUGACUCAAAAUUUAAUUAUAUUAUAACUCAACUAGCUAAUCCUAAUUAGACUCCAACAAAUACCAAUCCCUAUUCAAUUCUAAUUAAUAUUAAUCCUACUUAAAGUUUACUUAGGUCUUCCCUUUCUUCCUUGAAUAAACUUUAAAAGGCUUUCCCCCAUCAAUUCUCCCCGGCUUGAAAGAACUCGGCUCCGACGAGUUAGAUGCUUGAUACAAUUCAUAGAGAUCGGGGUUAAUCUUCUGAAAAUCCGUUGUCGUAAUUCAUGUAUUCUCAGAAUGUGGUUUGCCUCGCCAUUUCACCAAAAAAUUUUGGUAUCCACCUUGUCGAGUAGACACAAGUUGAUCAUCAAGAACAUACUCGAUCUUAGGACGUGGGCUAAGAGUAGGUGGUAAUUGAAGAUCCAACUCUUCACUUACAUCGUUGUGAUGGCCAUGGUAGAUAUACAAAUCUUCCACAUUAAAUAUUGGACUAAAAUGCAAGUUUGAAGGGAGCUCUAACAAAUAAGCAUUCUCACCCAACCGCUUUAGUACCCGAAAUGGACCCGCUUUCUUAGCUUGAAGCUUUUGAUAUGUGCUUGGAUGAAAUCUUUCUGGUCGUAAACGAACCAUCACUAGAUCACCUUCUUGAAACUGAAUAUAUCUUCGAUGUGCAUCUGCUGCCUCUUUAUAGUUCUCAUUGCUGAUUUUGAUUUUUUCUCGUACCUUUUCAUGUAUAUCUCGUAUAUGACGUGCAAAUGCAUCACCAUCUUGGCUGGUGCGGACAGAAGUAGGUAAUGGUAUAAGAUCAACAGGUUGCUUAGGUUUCAGCCCAUAUGCCACUUCAAAAGAUGAGUACCCAGUAGUACGAUUAGUGGAGCUAUUGAAAGCAAAUUCGGCUUGUGGUAAGAUAUUAUCUCACUUUCUCAACUAAUCUCUCACAAUGCAUCUCAAAAGAUUACCAAGACUGCGAUUGACAACUUCUAUUUGUCCAUCAGUUUGAGGAUGAAAAGAACUUGAAAAUUUUAAUUGAGUACCUAGCUUGGCCCACAAGGUUUUCCAAAAAUAGCUCAUAAACUUGAUAUCGCGAUCAGAAACAAUGGAUUGUGGUAAUCCAUGCAAUCGAACUACUUCUUUAAAGAAUAAGGCAGCAACAUAAGAAGCAUCCGAAGCCUUCUUACAUGGGAUAAAAUGUGCCAUUUUGGAAAAUCUAUCAACCACAACAAAUAUAGAAUCAAAGCCCCGUUGUGUCCUUGGUAAUCCAAGUACAAAAUCCAUACUCAAGUCUUCCCAAGGUUUGGAAGGAACUGGUAAUGGCGUAUAUUGUCAAAAUAUUGUAUGAAUGGCCGAAUACCUUGGCCUUGAGUUUUGUAUAUUAUAUAUAGACUUUACAAGGAUGCUAUACAUGGAAAGCAAAUAAAAGCAAAUAAAUUCUCUCAUGAUUCUAGUCCUAUACAUGUAAACUAUAAUCUGUCAAAUAAUAUAUGCUAACUGUACAGAAUAAUAAAUGGAGAAAUAAGGAAACAAUUGUAGGCUAAAAUAAGGAAAGAAGUGUGGACAGCAAAGCUGUCCUUUGACAGCCCCCCUCAAAUUGAUGCAAGUUGAUCAACAAACAUCAAUUUGCUACUUAGCAAGCAAUGUCGAUGACAAGGGAGAGCCUUGGUGAAGAUAUCAACAAUUUGUAAGUCAGUGGAAAUAUGUGGAAGAGUGAUAACACGAGCUUCAAAGGCUUCACGGAUAGAGUGACAGUCCACUUCAAUAUGCUUUGUGCGCUCAUGAUAGAUAGGAUUGGCCAUGAUCUGAAUAGCACUUGUAUUAUCGGCAUGUAGAAGUGUAGGAUCGGUCUUAGAAAAAUCUAACUCUGCAAGCAAACCUCGAAGCCAAAUGAUUUUAGAACAAGUAAGAGACAUCGCCCGGUACUCAGAUUCCGUAGAUGACUUAGAGACUCUGUCUUGCUUCUUACUUUUCACAAACAUCUUAAACUAAAACUCCCAACUAAGAUAGUUUUUGCCAUUGAAACGAACAAUAGAAUAUUCUCUAGACAUUAUGAAGACAGAAAUAGCCUAGGAAACAAAAAAGAAAAAAAACAUCGUCAAAGAGCCUAAAUCUAAUAAUAAACCUCCAAANNNNNNNNNNNNNNNNNNNNNNNNNNNNNNNNNNNNNNNNNNNNNNNNNNNNNNNNNNNNNNNNNNNNNNNNNNNNNNNNNNNNNNNNNNNNNNNNNNNNCAAGCCGGGGAGAAAUUGAUGGGGGAAAGCCUUUUAAAGUUUAUUCAAGGAAGAAAGGGAAGACCUAAGUAAACUUUAAGUAGGAUUAAUAUUAAUUAGAAUUGAAUAGGGAUUGGUAUUUGUUGGAGUCUAAUUAGGAUUAGCUAGUUGAGUUAUAAUAUAAUUAAAUUUUGAGUCAUGAUAGGUUAUUAGAGUCCUAGUAGAAUAAGUUAUUAGAGUCCUAGUAGACUUUGGAUUUCUUAGAGAAGUCUAUAAAUAGGCUAAUCAAUGUAAAUCAAAGGAAUGAAUUUUGAUGAAUAAUAUUAUACUUUCUUUCAUUGCAAGGUUGCAACCCUCAAUGGUGAGACUCCUAGAAGGCCUUAGUGAGACUCUAAGGUUUUCCAUCUUUUCUUCAUUGUUUCUUCUUUCUCUCUAUUUCUUGUCUUAUAAUUUUCUCUACCGUACAGUUUGUUGCCCACACUUCCUUAUUUUAGCCCACACUUCUUUCCUUAUUUUAACCCACAAUUGUUUCCUUAUUUCUCCAUGACAACUUGCUGUCCACACUUCUUCUUUCCUUAUUUUAGCCCACAAUUGUUUCCUUAUUUUAGCCCACACUUCUUUCCUUAUUUCUCCAUUUAUUAUUCUGUACAGUUAGCAUAUAUUAUUUAACAGAUUAUAGUUUACAUGUAUAGGACUAGAAUCAUGAGGGAAUUUAUUUGCUUUUAUUUGCUUUCCAUGUAUAGCAUCCUUGUAAAGUCUAUAUAUAAUAUACAAAACUCAAGGCCAAGGUAUUCGGCCAUUCACACAAUAUUUUGACAUGGUAUCAGAGCUUGUGUUUUGAACCUAGAGUUUACACGCUUUCUAGGUUUUUCUUUGGGUUUUCUCGGAUUUAGCCCUAGGGGCUCUCGGACUCUAGCCCAACUUUUGGGUUAUUUUUUUUUUCUAAAGUUAAGCUUGUCGCCCAAUUUAUAUACAUUGGAUGUCACAAUAUCUGUAAAUAAAAAUUGGUUAAAGCAACACAGAGAUCAACAGACAAAACCCUAAAGCCAAUCACAACAGGACACAUGACUUUUGAAUCAAUUAAUUGCUCUUUGAUCCCCUUCUUUUAACCCAACUUUUUCUGUUAGCACUUAGCAGCAGCAUGGAACAAUGAUUUCACCAGAUGGUAGCUAUUGUUAGCACCGCAAUUUAGUUGUUGAUGAUAACAUGGGCAGGGGAAUGGGGAGGUGGGAGGGGGAGAAGAACAAAUUUGGAAGAAAAAUUGAAUCCUCUCAAUUUUCUAGGCCAUUUCCUUCAGCCUAAUAUUCCAGAGAGACCAGGGAAUGAAACAUGAGGCCAAUUCAAUUGUAAAAUUUGAAAGAAAUGAGGUCGCAAAACUACCACCAUUGAAGGGGGCUGUAAUUUCUUCAGGGGAGGUAGGAUUAAUGGCGCCCGCUAUGUGUGUCAGAGUCCAAACCCACUGCAGAUACGCUUUCUCAACAAACUUUGGCAAUUGCUUGUGACUAACCAAGUAAGAACUUGAAAAUGUCCCUCAGGGAGACGAUGCCUUCGACAUUUCACAAACAUCUUAAACUAAAACUCCCAACUAAGAUAGUUUUUGCCAUUGAAACGAACAAUAGAAUAUUCUCCAGACAUUAUGAAGACAGAAAUAGCUUAGGAAACAAAAAAGAAAAAAAACAUCGUCAAAGAGCCUAAAUCUAAUAAUAAACCUCCAAAUAAUCGAAGAUCUCCAAGAGCCUAGAAGUGAAG